rnacentral:rRNA from 1 species
UACGUAGGCAGCAAGCGUUGUUCGGAAUUACUGGGCGUAAAGGGUGCGUAGGCGGCUUUUUAAGUUUGGUGUGAAAUCUCCCGGCUCAACUGGGAGGGUGCGCCGAAUACUGAGAAGCUAGAGUGUGGGAGAGGAAAGUGGAAUUCCUGGUGUAGCGGUGAAAUGCGUAGAUAUCAGGAGGAACACCGGUGGCGAAGGCGGGUCUCUGGGCCGUAACUGACGCUGAGGAGCGAAAGCGUGGGGAGCGAACAGG